rnacentral:rRNA from 1 species
CAGUCGCCGCGGGAAUACGAAGGGGGCUAGCGUUGUUCGGAAUUACUGGGCGUAAAGCGCACGUAGGCGGACAUUUAAGUCAGGGGUGAAAUCCCGGGGCUCAACCUCGGAACUGCCUUUGAUACUGGGUGUCUUGAGUGUGGAAGAGGUAAGUGGAAUUGCGAGUGUAGGGGUGAAAUUCGUAGAUAUUCGCAGGAACACCAGUGGCGAAGGCGGCUUACUGGUCCACAACUGACGCUGAGGUGCGAAAGCGUGGGGAGCAAACAGGAUUAGAUACCCGAGUAGUCCCUGUCUCUUAUAC